GAUUGCAUAACUCUCUCUCUUUCUCUGCAUAUUUAGGAAAAGGAUGAGAAACUCGAUGGUGAUGCAGCUUUGAACAAGUUCUUUAAAGACAUAUACGGUGAUGCUGAUGAGGACACAAAACGAGCCAUGAGCAAGUCUUUCAUUGAAUCAAACGGAACCGUACUAUCGACAAACUGGAAAGAAGUUGGUGCAAAGAAGGUUGAAGGAAGCGCGCCAGACGGCAUGGAGUUGAAGAAAUGGGAGUACUGAUAGGACGUCUCUUGUCUUUUGAUCGAUCUCAGUCAUAUAUUUGCUUUUUUUUUUUUUUUAAUUUUUUUUUUUUGGCACAAGUCAUUUUUUGUGCUGAGGUAUUUUGCCUUGGUUGUUUUUGAACUUGUUCAUACUUUUCUCUUUAGAUCAGAGCAAGUUGACUAUCUUUUAUCUGUUGACUUUUGAUACUCAAAAAUGUUUAUUUCAUUACAGCACUAUGGUUGGAGUGUUUUAUGUUUUUACUAAA